GCCAUGUCUGAAAAUUGCUUAUUGAAAAAGAACAAAGUUCAUGCCUGAUUAAGGGUGCCAUGCCUUGGAUGUUCCUGGAUGUCGGAAUACAACAAAUUACUAAAUUUGCAAGAAGCAAGAUACAAACUCCAUGCUAUUGUCAUUUAUCCAUAUUAAUAACAUCAAUUCAAAUAGAAAAGCCCCAAAAAAUUUGAGAUUCCAAAUUCAAGCUCAUAUAAUGAAUGCUGUGAUAAUAGCUAUUGAUAUAAUAUUUGAUGUUUAUACAUUAUUUUAUAUAGAAAGAAAGAAAGAAACUUGAAUAGGUGCUCUCCUCUACUGAUGAAACUUGUAUAGGUGCUCUCAUCUACUGAUGAAAGUUGGAAAAGUGUGGGCCAUUAAACCAAGUUGCCAACUUCACAAACAAGGCCUCAUAGUAUAGCAAGAUAUUGCCAUCAAUCUUUUUGCACUAAUAAACCUCUUGGUUGAUAGAAAAUAUUAUUCACAUUCAUGAGGACCGAUUUUCAUUAUUCCGUUCUGCAUCAUCUUCUAGAUGAUCCUCAUCUUCAUUGGGAAUGUCUUCGCUGUAAUCAUCUAAUGAACCAACAGGAAAAACGAUGUCACCUUAAGAAAUUUAAUGGAUUUAGUUCAAUCAACGUGGACGAGGCAAAGUUAUAGCAUUACGUAUGAUAUGCACAAAGCUCAAAACAUUAGGCGUAUUCAAUGUUCUACCUUGGUUGAAAGCAAAUGAUCAACUAUCUAUCCCAUUAAACUAUAUUGGAGAGCAUCAGCACCAUAUUAAACACGAGAAGCAAAAGGUAUUCCUAGAUUCAUGUAUACUCUAGGUUUGACUGCAUCACAAUGAAGAUUAACAAAAAGCUGCUAAGUACAGUUUAAAGGGACAAGGCAUCAAAACUGAGUGGGACAAGGUAAAUAAAAAACUCUUUACCCUUUUGAGGCUGUACAGACCAAUUUUAGCCCGGGCUUAAGGCCCAACUACCCACCAAACAACCCAAUAGCCCAGACUAAAAACCUAAGCCCAAAAAAAAAAAAAAAAAAAAAAACCAUCCCAAUAAGCCCAAUACCCAAACCAGAACCCAUCUUCAGCAGAAAACAACAAUCCUAACCCUAGGUGCGUCGCACCUAGGGUAUCCACUUGCUUCUGCCGCACACCCACUUGCCCUGCCACAACUGCCACCGCCGCACCGUCCCAUCACCCUGUUCUCACCAUCAAUUACCUGCAACAAGGAAGCAAACAGGAAGCAAGCAAAAACAGUAGCAAAAAUAGGCUAUAAAAGCCAUUCAAAGAAUGUAACAAGAGGGGGGUACUUUUUUGUAACAAAAAACAGAUAUUAAAGAAAAAGAAAUACAAUAUCAAACUGAGUUUUAAGGUGAUUUCCACCUUUUUCAUCUUCAUAUUUUACCAUUUUAUUUUACUUUUUCUUUUUGUUCGUCUAUUCGUAUACACAUAAUAAAUAAUAAUAAAAAGGGAAAAGAGGGAAAGAAGCGUACCUGGAACCACCGCGUAGCUCUGUCGACGGAGAUCUCCUUUGCCGUCGGCGGAAUCGGGCCUUAAGGUGGGUCUAAUGGUCCCUCGGGUUGGAAACCCGACUCUCGGGUACGCCGCGAAACAAGGGCUGAAAAGCCUAUGUUCUUCGUCGUCGGUCUUUGAUCCCGGCGGCGCAAGCGGUGGCUCCGUGGCCGAAUAGGGGGAGGGGGCUGAAGAGGAUCCCAUUUUUUUCUUUUUGUAACAGAGGUUGCAAAUGAGGGUUUCAAUUUUUUUUUAAGUAAUAAAAACAUUUAAACGGCGCCGUUUGAUGGAGAUCUGCGCAUGUUUUGCCCUAAUGGGUAAUUUGCGCAUUUGGUCCUUCCAUCUUGCGCUUGAUGCGCAAUCUGACCUUUCUAUUUUUUUUAUUUGGACCGCGAAUUUUGUUUCUGCUUCAGUCUGGUCCUUUGACCAUGUGCGGUCAUUUGCAUUGAAACGCUGCACUCUGUGAUUGGGGCAUAUUGCCUGAUCAGUCCUCCAGUCUUUAGGCGUAUCCAAGUUCAGUCCCUGAGCUUUUUAUUUACAGUUUAGACCCCCAGAUUUUGGUUUGAUUUUAAUUUCAUCCUUUAGUUCAUUCAAUUUUUUUUAAAAGAAAAGGAGAGUUCCUUUAUUAUUUAUUUUAAGUUAUAUAUAUGUGUAUAUUUUAUUUACCUAAUAUUUUUCUUAUUGUUUGUAUUACUUGAUUUAAGUCAAUAUAAAUACAUGCAUGCAUUUUUAUAAUACACGUACAUAUUUUUCCCAAUUUAUAUGUAUACAUACUCAUACAUAUAUUCUUUAUAUUCUAUAAUCUAUAUACCUUUUUUAUUUUCAUAUAUAUAUAUAUAUAUAUAUAUACAUACAUACGUACUCAUAUAUUUUUGUCUAUAUACAUCUUUCUACUUUCACGAAUAUAUACACACUUAUAUAUUUUUUAUAUUUUAUAAUUUUUAUUUACAUAUAUAUAUUUCUUUUAAAUACAUAUAUACUUUUUAGGUUUUAUAAUUUUAAAAUACAUAUAUGCGCACAUACUUUUGACAUUUUUUAUAUAUAAAUUAUCAUUAUUUACUUAUAUUUUUAUUAUUUUUAAACUUUGAUGUAUACUUACAUAUAUAUCUUCUUACAUUCUUUAUAAUUAUAUCUAUUUACGUUUUCAUCAUUAUUUUAAAAUAUUUUAAUCUCAUUUACUUAUAUGCUUGUUUUCUUGUAUGUUGUUGAUUCAUCCUUUUUUAUUUAUCUUAUCUUUGAUGCUAUUGCUCGUAUUAUCAUUCUACUUACAUACACUUCAUACAUGUUUAUUUUUUCUUUAUAUUUUAAAAUAUACUUUAUAUAUAUUUCAUAUAUUUUGUAACUUACGUAUACACACAUAUUUUAAUUUACAUUUCUAUACAUAUAUAUAUUCAUUUACGUUUUAUUUGUGUUCACUAUUUAUUUCAUUUUAUUAUUAUUUUGAAUGAAAGUUUUGAUUUAUUUGUUUAUAUACAUUGUUAUUUUAUAUGAUUGUAGGACUAAUGUUUAUUUAUUAUUGUUGCUAUUGCUCAUAUCAUUUUAUACUUUUGUAUUCAUUAUGAUUUUGCCAUGAAUAACAACAAUGCAAAUUGCUUUCACAUUUUUUACUACGAUUUUAGUGUUUUAUCUUACUCGACAUAACAUAAUUUGUUUGAAUAAAUAAUAUUUCGUCUUUAGAUUCGAGAGGAUCGUAUCUUAACUUACUGGGUUUCGAUUUUUCACGAUAAAUCUAAAUGACGAAUCUUUUUAAACUCGAAUUUUAAAUGAUCUCGGGAUUAAAAAAUUGCGUCCUAACUUACGGGUCGUGAUCUCAUUUUUAAAUCCGAGAUGGCUAAAAUAUCUUUUAAAUAAGCAUUUUUCAUUUGCGUGUUGGGAAUUUGAGACAUUGUAUCCUAACUUACUGGAUAUGAUUCUCUUUCUCGAUUAACGUGAAAUAUGCUACUUUUCCAAAAAAUUUCCAUUUUUAUAUAAGGAUCGCAUUUUUAAAGUUCUUCAAAGUUUUUGACAUUAAGACAUUAAGUAAUCAAUUAGGUACCAAUUUUGGGCGUAUCGAGGGUGCUAAUCCUUCCUCGUGCGUAACCGACUCCCGAACCCAUUUUUCUGAAUUUUGUGGACCAAAAUCGUUGUUUUAAUAAAACUAAACCGUUUAUUAAAAACAACCACUUUUCAAGGUGAUCCAAUCACACCUCAUAAAAAAGGAUUGGUGGCGACUCCCGUUUCAUUUUUCAAAACCCAAAUCGACCCCGUUUUUAAUCCAAAAAUGGUGUCAACAGCUUGGCGACUCCGCUGGGGACAAACACAAGAGUCAAGCCAUGAGUUGAUUACUUUUUGUCUUUUCGUCAAAAAUCAAAAACCUAGUUUAAAUAUACGAUCCUUUCAUUGUAUUUUUAUUUAUCUUUAUUAUGAUCUUCGUCAUUGUGAUUCAUAAUUGCUGUGUUUAAGUUCAGAUGUAUUUUUGCACAUUGCAUUGCAUGACCGUUGGUCAUACCCUUUUAAGUGGGAGUGAGAAGCUACGCCUUCGUGAGGUUUUCACCUCCGUAUGGGAUAGUGAAUCGCUUUCGGGAUACAUCCGUACCUAUGUCUUCGUGAGAUUUUCAUCUCCGCAUGGCCAUAGGGAAAUGUAUUCCCCUGAACUGAACUCAGUCCGUAUGAGCCUAUAAUGGGUGAGGAUCGAGGAAUCUGCUGGUUCGGGUACCCUUACUUUAGAACCAACCCUCAUAUAGUAGACUUAGGAACUUAACCUAGGUAGAGCCACUCCAAACCCCUAGUAUCUACCCGAUUAGGUACUUUUUUGUUUUCUGUGCUUGCUUAUGUUUUGCACUAACCCUUCUUGUUGUGUUUUGAUUAUGAUUGCAUUACAUUGCAUUUGCAUCUUAGGAAAGAGAUAUGGAUUCAAAUCCAAUUACUAAAUUAGAAAGCUUGUCAUGGAAUACGAAUUCCUUGAUAAAGUGGAAAACAAUACGACUUCCCAAACAUAUUCUGAGAAACACAAGAAUGGCGAUGGAAGAGUUCGUGACCUUACUUUGUGGCCUGGGGAUUCGAGACGAUUGUCCAAAAGCCUUCAACAAGCUGACGAGCCUUAUGAAGAUGGGCAGAUGAUGGAUCGCGACCAAGAUCAAGAAAAUGAGCUAGCAAUGGCAUCUAUUGGUGAGAUUACCUCAAACAUGCGGAUAAAAAAAAAAUCGAUGUUGUUUCUUGGAAUAUGAGGGUAAGGUCGUACAUGUAUCCGUUUUAUGUAAGGAAAUUUGCUUUCUAGAAAAGUUUCCUAAAUGUAAUUGAAUCAGAAUCAACGUCCCUUUAAGGCAUUCAUUUCAUGCAUCUGCAUUACAUUGUAUCAUAUGCAUUAGAUUUUCACGAAGUGACCCUAAUUAUGUAAAAUUAUUUCAGCUAAUCUGGAAAACCAAUCAACCAAACAUCCUUACGGUACUCGUCGCAAAGCCAAAGAAAUGGAUCAAAGAUUAGAGAAACUGGAGCAAACGCAAAAAGAGAUGCAAUACCAGUUACAGGUGCAAAUGAAAGAACAUAUGGAAAAGAUCCAGAAAGACAUGGCACAAAAGAUGAAGGAGUCUCAGGAUGAACUAAUGACUAAAUUGACGCAAUUAAUAACCAAGGGAGUGGAUAAAGGGAAAAAUCCUGUGGUUUGCGAUGAAGAAGGAAACAAUGAUGAGCCAUUUUAUCCUCCAGGUUUCACGCCUCCGCAUGCGCAAGUACAGAUUGAACCACAUCCACGAAGAUCUUCUGUUUCGAUUAGGCCUCAGCACUUUCAAGGUGACGCUUCAAUACCGAAGAACCUUCAGGGCAGAUCUGGUUCUAGUCCUGACGAUAAUCUGGUUGUCCCGGACUUCGAUGAAGUAGCGGAGAAAGACAAGAUGAAGGAGGAGUUACCAAAGCAGUUUGAGGAGAAAUGGAAAUGGAUUGAAGAGAAGUUUAGGGCGAUAGAAAGUAUCGACGGCUAUCGGGGAAUAGAUGCGAAAGAUCUGAGUUUAGUUCCGGAUUUGGUGCUUCCUUACAAAUUUAAGAUGCCAGAAUUCGAGAAAUAUAAUGGGACCAGCUGCCCAGAAGCUCAUAUUACUAUGUUCUGUAGGCGUAUGGCCGGAUACGUCAACAACGACCAACUGCUCAUACACUGCUUUCAAGAUAGCCUCACAGGGGCAGCGUCUAAGUGGUACAAUCAAUUGACGCGUAUCCAGAUUAGUUCUUGGAGGGAUUUAGCACAAGCCUUUAUGAAACAAUACAGUCAUGUAGCUGAUAUGGUCCUUGACAGAAUUACCCUUCAAAAUAUGGAGAAAAAGCCUAAUGAAAGUUUUAGGCAAUACGCACAAAGGUGGAGGGAGGUCGCUAUCCAAGUUCAGCCGCCACUCCUAGAGAAAGAAAUGACGAUGCUCUUCAUCAACACAUUGAAGGCCCCGUUCAUCACCCACAUGUUAGGAAGUGCUUCGAAGAGUUUUUCAGACAUAGUCAUGAGCGGUGAAAUGAUUGAAAGUGCCGUGAGAAGUGGAAAGAUUGAUGCUGGAGAAAAUAAUAGGAGGUCAAACUUAAAGAAGAAGGAAAAUGAGGUGAGCAAUGUGAACACCUACAACAAAUCGAUUACACAGCCAAGAAAGGUGAUUACUAGUCAGCAAGGUUCAUCUAGACAAGAAUCGUAUGUGAAGCAAGGCACUGAGAACCUUCAAUUCACGCCAAUUCCGAUGUCAUAUAAGGAGUUGUAUCAAAGCUUAUUCAACGCACGUAUUGUCGCCCCUCUCUACACGAAACCUCCACAGCCUCCGAACCCCAAAUGGCACGAUGCGAAUGCACAAUGCGAGUAUCAUGCGGGAAAUACGGGGCAUUCCAUAGAGAACUGCAUAGCCUUCAAGAAACUGGUUGAAAAGCUCAUCAACAUGGGUGUCGUCAAGUUUGGUGACUCAUCUAAUGCAGAAAAUUCGCCACCCAAUCAUGAUUAACAAAUGGGGUGAACGCAAUAUAUGAGAAAGUGUUGGGAAAUUUUCACAUCAAUACCAUAUAUGAAGGCAUAAUUGAAAAGGGAUCUUAUUAGGUGUUCGCCCUUAUAAACCUGGGAGUGUUCUAAAGAAACCUUUGUAGUAUUUAGAGCUUACUCAGAGUAAUAUUCAAAACACACUUGUUGCUUUCAGCCUAGAGCAACAAGAAGUCUUUCAUGAAAAAGGCUUAUGUCUGAACGUCAUUAUUUUAAUGGAAUGCAUCUUUGCGAUCUUUUGAACUAAUAUUUUUCAUUGAUUAUUCUUUUAUUCUUCCAUCCAAAUCAUUCUUUCAUAAUCAUACUGUGCAGAUAAUUAUUCUUAAAUUCAUACAUUCUUUAUAUAUUAUUUUGUACCUACAAUAGGUCUCUGGAUAUCAACGACAUGAAUGACACUGCUACAGACUUAGAAUCUCCUUUUGAGCGAGACAUGUGUUUAGAGGGAUCUCACGACUUUGAAGAUGACACAGAGCGUAGCUUAUCUCCAAACUUGUUGAGGAUGGUAGAACAAAAGGAUAAACAGAUCCUACCUCUCAGUGAAUCAUUAGAAAUUGUGAGCUUGAUAAUAAAACCUGCACAACAGCACGAUGUCAGAAAUUUACAGUGCGAACGAUGCAAUUCUUUGCCGGGGCAAUGCCUCUCUCGUUGAGUCAGCAUAGCUUUACCCAUUUGAAGUUGAGUUUCCAUCCCUUCAAGAUGUUGUUGGAUUUUAUCCUGAUUAAAGAUAGAGAUCUAAAUUUUUCUGUCGUAGUUGCGUCCCAAAAGGGCUUGAUGAAAGAAAUCUGGUACCAAAGAAGGUUUCUCACAUACAAGAUGAAAGUGGAAGAUCUUAUGUGGAAGACUUUAGAAUAACAUUGAUUCUGGUCGAAAAGCAUGACCAGAACUUGCCUAAUCUCAUGAAUUCAAAAAAUCAAAAAAUCAAAAAAAUCAAAGUCAAAAUAGGAAAAAGAAAAAGGAGAGGCCAAGGCGAAAACCCACAAAGGGCGCUUUGACCAAAGGUGAAUCUGAGUUGAAAACCCGAAAAAGGACGACUCAAAUUUUGAGCACAAUGGGGCAAGAACAUCACCAUUAUCGAAGACUUCUAAUGGGCAUUGUUUCAUUUUGAGAGGCUACUUCAUGAGCUAAAGGCAUCGUAUACCGAUACAGAAUUUCAGAGAAGAGAGUAUUGGAGAAUGCAUUGAGGUUAAACAAUAGCACGAUAGCUGAAGUCUCAAAUUAGCUCAGAAGUGGACACCACGAUUCGUCACUGGAGUUCCUAGAGUUGAACAUCAAAAAUUGAAGGAAAAUGACUGAGACUUACGAGGAUCGAUGUGAGAAAUUACCAUUUACCCUCAUUGUUUGUCGAACAUCGGUAUUGGGGCAACACUUCUCUUUUUGGUUUACAGGAUUGAGGUAGUUCUACCUAUUAAAAUCCCCUCGUUGCUUGUUGAAGGGAUCCAAUCGCAAUGUGAUUAGUUGGCCCUAGGAAAAUGGUUAAAAGCUAUUCAUCAGGGUCAGAUGUACCAUAAAUAAAUAAUAUGAGCCCAUAAUAAACAUGCUCGUCUCAGAGAAUUCCACAAGAGGGCUGGAUGUUGAAAAAGAUUCUUCCUUAACGAAAGGAUUCUAAAGGGAAAUGAAUGCCAAACUAGGAAAGUCCCUAUGUUGUAAAGAAAACCAUUUCUAGAAGAGCACUGAUCCUGAGUGAGAUUGCUAAUCCUAUAAACUCGGAUCCAGAAACACUUCGGAAGGACCAAGGUGAAAACCUGCAAAAGGGCACUUUGAUUCAAAAAAAAAAAGAGAAGAAGAUGAAAAAAUGAAAAAUGAAAAAGUAAAAAUGGAGAGGCUAAGGGGAAAACCCGCAAAGGGCGCCUUAGGCCAAAGGGGAUCUGAGCUGAAAACCCGAAAAGGGCGGCUCAAAUACUGAUCAAAAUGGGGCAUGAGGUGAUAUAAGCUGCUCAAGUUUUGUUCAUAUUGAGGCAUGUGUUGAUCUUGCCAUACCUGAAUCAACAGGAAAGGAUAGGCGACAUCUUGGGGGCAUUGACAGAGCAUUGUAGAUCUCCUAAACACAUGUCCAACUCAAAAGGGUCUUCAGAAAGUUUGUAUAGAGAAGUUCAAGCUGUGAUAUCUGGGGCACCCAAUUCUCAUGUUAUUUGUUGUUCUUGGAAUACUUUUUCUUUCUUUCCAAGAUAUACAUUCCCAAUUAAUUCUUUUGUUGUCCUUCUUCACUAUUUUCGAUAAUUUGUUCUUUCGAGCUAUGCUCAGAACCAACUUUAUUCUUAUCCAUUGUUAUGACCUUUUUUGCAAGCAUUGGAAUAAUGAUUAAUGGACUAAUAAAACUUUCACAAAGGAAGUUUUGCAUAUUACUCUGAAAAGUUUCUAAAUAAUACAGGAACCUGAAACAGGACUAUUGUUUAGAACAUGCCAAAUUUGAAGGUUGGAAAUUUGAGAAGGAAGAGUCUAAGUUUGGACUUUCUCUUUGGAUUUUGUUGACAAAUGCAUUGAUUGAACAAAAUGACAAGAUGUCGUGUCAAUGAAAAAGCUUAAAUAAACAAGCAAGCAAUGAUCACUAGGCAAUAGGAAGAGGUUACCUCGGAGAAGAGAGCCUUCAUUUGUGCAUGAGUCUUUGAAACGACACCCUGGAAAUGGUGUAAGGGGGACCAGAAAGAUUAAGAUCCUAUAUCCUUGAAUUGUGAUAAAAGAAGAUUGAGGAAAAACCAUAUUUCUACCCUUGGAUUGUAGUGGGAGAAUGAUGGUAAUUGAGGAAAAACCAUAUUUCUACCCUUGGAUUGUAGUGGGAGAAUGAUGGUACAAAUUUUGUGCUCUAAUAGAUUAAACUUUAAGGUGGGGGGCAACCAGAUUAAGUGUUUCUUUGGAUAUACCGGACGAGCAAAAAGGCGUAGUAGUACGUCAGUGAUAAAACCUUAAUAAGUUUUUACGUAAUGUUAACCUAAGCAUUAAGGAAUCAUCUUCAUGACGUUUUGCAUUCAUUCAAAUGUCAUUCAUACAUAUCUAGUUAGGAGCAUUUGAUUCAUUCUGAUUAUGUCAUCCUAAUCACUAGGCACAAUUAGGUUCAUAAAAUAGAACAUACAGGUCAUGUUCCCCAAGGGACAGAUCAAUGAAGUUAAAGAUCUUGCCUUCCUGCAUUGACAGUGAAACAGGUUGAAGACAUAAACCUUGCCUCUUUCGGUUGUGAUAGAGCUGGUUGAAGACAAAAGCUUGCCUUCCUACAUUGACAGCGAAGCAGAUCGAAGACACAAACCUUGCCUCUUUCGGUUGUGAUGGAGCUGGUUGAAGACAAAAGAUCUUGCCUUUCUGCAUUGACAGCGAAGCAGAUCGAAGACACAAACCUUGCCUCUUUCGGUUGUGAUGGAGCUGGUUGAAGACAAAAGAUCUUGCCUUUCUGCAUUGACAGCGAAGCAGAUUGAAGACACAAACCUUGCCUCUUUCGGUUGUGAUGGAGCUGGUUGAAGACAAAAGAUCUUGCCUUUCUGCAUUGACAGCGAAGCAGAUCGAAGACACAAACCUUGCCUCUUUCGGUUGUGAUAGAGCUGGUUGAAGACAAAAGAUCUUGCCUUCCUGCAUUGACAGUGAAGCAGGUCGAAGACACAAACCUUGCCUCUCUCGGUUGUAGUGGAGCUAGUUAAAGAAGCAGAUCUUGCCUUCCUGCAUUAACAGCAAAGCAGAUCAAAAACAAAGCCUUGCCUCCAUCGGUUGCAUUGGAGCUGGUUAAAGGUUACAGAUUUUGUCUCCCUAAGCCGUAGCGGAGCAGGUCAAAGACAGCAAAUCUUAUAUUCAAGUGUAAGGAAGCGGAUUCAAACCACAAGUCCUAUAUCCCUGACCUGUAGUGGAAUAGGUUGGAAAUUACAGAUCUUGUCCCCCUGAAGUCACAGUGGGGCAAACUAAAGCCAGAGAUUUUACCUCACUGUGACUACAGUGGAGUAUAUUGAAGCCGAUAAUUCUAUCUCCCUGGUUGGCAGUGGAAUAGAUUGAAGAUCAUAGAUGGCAGAUUCUACCUCCCUGUGACUACAGUGGAGUACUUUGAAGCCGAUAAUUCUAUCUCCCUGGUUAACAAUGGAAUAGAUUGAAGAUUUCAGAUCUUACCUCUCUAAAGUUGCAGUAGAGCAGAUCGCAUCUAGUCUUAUCUUCCUGAUAUUGCAGUGGAGCAGACUAAAGCAACGAAUCUCACCCCCUAAAGUCGCGGCAAAGUGGAUUGAAGCUACAAGUCGUAUCUUUUUGAAGUGUAGUGGAAUGGAUCGACACGACAAGCCACAAUGGAUUGAAAUAAAGCUCCUUGAAGUGAGGCGUUAGAGAAGUCAAGACUCAGCGAGACCGGGCAAAAAUUGGUCUUUCUUAGUCUUUGCUCUGUUUUCGUUACACGACAACGAGCAAAGAGGGGCAGCUGUACAGACCAAUUUUAGCCCGGGCUUAAGGCCCAACUACCCACCAAACAACCCAAUAGCCCAGACUAAAAACCUAAGCCCAAAAAAAAAAAAAAAAAAAAAAACCAUCCCAAUAAGCCCAAUACCCAAACCAGAACCCAUCUUCAGCAGAAAACAACAAUCCUAACCCUAGGUGCGUCGCACCUAGGGUAUCCACUUGCUUCUGCCGCACACCCACUUGCCCUGCCACAACUGCCACCGCCGCACCGUCCCAUCACCCUGUUCUCACCAUCAAUUACCUGCAACAAGGAAGCAAACAGGAAGCAAGCAAAAACAGUAGCAAAAAUAGGCUAUAAAAGCCAUUCAAAGAAUGUAACAAGAGGGGGGUACUUUUUUGUAACAAAAAACAGAUAUUAAAGAAAAAGAAAUACAAUAUCAAACUGAGUUUUAAGGUGAUUUCCACCUUUUUCAUCUUCAUAUUUUACCAUUUUAUUUUACUUUUUCUUUUUGUUCGUCUAUUCGUAUACACAUAAUAAAUAAUAAUAAAAAGGGAAAAGAGGGAAAGAAGCGUACCUGGAACCACCGCGUAGCUCUGUCGACGGAGAUCUCCUUUGCCGUCGGCGGAAUCGGGCCUUAAGGUGGGUCUAAUGGUCCCUCGGGUUGGAAACCCGACUCUCGGGUACGCCGCGAAACAAGGGCUGAAAAGCCUAUGUUCUUCGUCGUCGGUCUUUGAUCCCGGCGGCGCAAGCGGUGGCUCCGUGGCCGAAUAGGGGGAGGGGGCUGAAGAGGAUCCCAUUUUUUUCUUUUUGUAACAGAGGUUGCAAAUGAGGGUUUCAAUUUUUUUUUAAGUAAUAAAAACAUUUAAACGGCGCCGUUUGAUGGAGAUCUGCGCAUGUUUUGCCCUAAUGGGUAAUUUGCGCAUUUGGUCCUUCCAUCUUGCGCUUGAUGCGCAAUCUGACCUUUCUAUUUUUUUAUUUGGACCGCGAAUUUUGUUUCUGCUUCAGUCUGGUCCUUUGACCAUGUGCGGUCAUUUGCAUUGAAACGCUGCACUCUGUGAUUGGGGCAUAUUGCCUGAUCAGUCCUCCAGUCUUUAGGCGUAUCCAAGUUCAGUCCCUGAGCUUUUUAUUUACAGUUUAGACCCCCAGAUUUUGGUUUGAUUUUAAUUUCAUCCUUUAGUUCAUUCAAUUUUUUUUAAAAGAAAAGGAGAGUUCCUUUAUUAUUUAUUUUAAGUUAUAUAUAUGUGUAUAUUUUAUUUACCUAAUAUUUUUCUUAUUGUUUGUAUUACUUGAUUUAAGUCAAUAUAAAUACAUGCAUGCAUUUUUAUAAUACACGUACAUAUUUUUCCCAAUUUAUAUGUAUACAUACUCAUACAUAUAUUCUUUAUAUUCUAUAAUCUAUAUACCUUUUUUAUUUUCAUAUAUAUAUAUAUAUAUAUACAUACAUACGUACUCAUAUAUUUUUGUCUAUAUACAUCUUUCUACUUUCACGAAUAUAUACACACUUAUAUAUUUUUUAUAUUUUAUAAUUUUUAUUUACAUAUAUAUAUUUCUUUUAAAUACAUAUAUACUUUUUAGGUUUUAUAAUUUUAAAAUACAUAUAUGCGCACAUACUUUUGACAUUUUUUAUAUAUAAAUUAUCAUUAUUUACUUAUAUUUUUAUUAUUUUUAAACUUUGAUGUAUACUUACAUAUAUAUCUUCUUACAUUCUUUAUAAUUAUAUCUAUUUACGUUUUCAUCAUUAUUUUAAAAUAUUUUAAUCUCAUUUACUUAUAUGCUUGUUUUCUUGUAUGUUGUUGAUUCAUCCUUUUUUAUUUAUCUUAUCUUUGAUGCUAUUGCUCGUAUUAUCAUUCUACUUACAUACACUUCAUACAUGUUUAUUUUUUCUUUAUAUUUUAAAAUAUACUUUAUAUAUAUUUCAUAUAUUUUGUAACUUACGUAUACACACAUAUUUUAAUUUACAUUUCUAUACAUAUAUAUAUUCAUUUACGUUUUAUUUGUGUUCACUAUUUAUUUCAUUUUAUUAUUAUUUUGAAUGAAAGUUUUGAUUUAUUUGUUUAUAUACAUUGUUAUUUUAUAUGAUUGUAGGACUAAUGUUUAUUUAUUAUUGUUGCUAUUGCUCAUAUCAUUUUAUACUUUUGUAUUCAUUAUGAUUUUGCCAUGAAUAACAACAAUGCAAAUUGCUUUCACAUUUUUUACUACGAUUUUAGUGUUUUAUCUUACUCGACAUAACAUAAUUUGUUUGAAUAAAUAAUAUUUCGUCUUUAGAUUCGAGAGGAUCGUAUCUUAACUUACUGGGUUUCGAUUUUUCACGAUAAAUCUAAAUGACGAAUCUUUUUAAACUCGAAUUUUAAAUGAUCUCGGGAUUAAAAAAUUGCGUCCUAACUUACGGGUCGUGAUCUCAUUUUUAAAUCCGAGAUGGCUAAAAUAUCUUUUAAAUAAGCAUUUUUCAUUUGCGUGUUGGGAAUUUGAGACAUUGUAUCCUAACUUACUGGAUAUGAUUCUCUUUCUCGAUUAACGUGAAAUAUGCUACUUUUCCAAAAAAUUUCCAUUUUUAUAUAAGGAUCGCAUUUUUAAAGUUCUUCAAAGUUUUUGACAUUAAGACAUUAAGUAAUCAAUUAGGUACCAAUUUUGGGCGUAUCGAGGGUGCUAAUCCUUCCUCGUGCGUAACCGACUCCCGAACCCAUUUUUCUGAAUUUUGUGGACCAAAAUCGUUGUUUUAAUAAAACUAAACCGUUUAUUAAAAACAACCACUUUUCAAGGUGAUCCAAUCACACCUCAUAAAAAAGGAUUGGUGGCGACUCCCGUUUCAUUUUUCAAAACCCAAAUCGACCCCGUUUUUAAUCCAAAAAUGGUGUCAACAGAGGCAAUGAAGGAGUAUCCCUGGAGUCCGAUGCAUUAUCAAGAACAUAAGAAAGAUCUAGUAAUUACAAAAAAGAUACAAUCUAAGGAUUACGGGGAGAACCUACAAAAGAUGAGAAAAUUUUAAUAAUUAAAAAAGGAAUCGAGCAAAAGAAAAUUGCAAAAGUCAUGAUUAUUCUAGUUGCAAAUCUAAAUAAAAAAGAACGCAUUCA
rnacentral:lncRNA from 1 species